rnacentral:lncRNA from 1 species
UCAUAUUAAACUGAAAACAUGAAGAUGAGAUGCAAUCUUGUGCAAAGAGAAAGGUAGGAAAGAGUAGCCAAGGGGGGCUAUCCUUGGCCAUUUCAUAAUAAAUAGUUGACUACAUAGGAUUUUCUGCGACUACUCCUUACGGCUUCCAUGGAGGCUUUCCUCCUCUACUUGUGUCGUCCCUUGUAUGGUGUUGGAGUAGUUCCUUCCUUGCUAAUUUUAGCA